GGUUGCAGUGAGCCGAGAUCACACCACUGCAUUCCAGCCUAGGUGACAGAGUGCGACGCCAUCUCAAAUAAAAAAUUAAAAAAUAAAGACAUGGACCCAUCACAAGUAGUAAAAUCUUUCCUGUGCCAUCUUCCUCCCCUUAAUCUGCUUGCUCAACCCCAGCUCUGCAGUUCUCCCCAAAAACUCAUUCUCCAAAUCUCUUAAAAAUUUUUACCACCUCUCUGAGAAAAAGGGAAUGACCUCCCCUCCCUGGACACACCUCCCCCUCCCCAAGCUGCAAAACCCUAAGGCUGAGUCAGUUUGCAACUACUGAAGAGAUUGCUAGUCACCUACUAAUUUUCACUUUCUCUUGUCUCUACUAAAAGAACCUCAUUUCAUAUACCAAUGUUACCAGCUAAAGGAAUAUGUCCUGGUCUCUUUAAUCAAUGGGGUUAAUCAAUGUUAUACAUGCAAAAGUUGUUGGGUGGAGUUCCCAGGGAGUUUCUCAAAAAGACUGAACCAACUAGGAGAUGUGCCGUUUUUCUUUCCCCUUUGCCUCCUACGUCCUGCCCGGAAAAACUGAUGUGAUUGAAGAAGCUCCAGCAGCCAUACUGAACGAUGAGGCACUUUGAAUACAAAAGCCUGCAUUUUAGUGGAGAAAAAAAAUUAUGAGGAGCCUGAGUCUCUGAUGAUCGUGAAGCCAUCCUACCACCUCUAAACUGCUACACAGACAAGUAUUCUGCAGAUGCACCACAAACGCCUUAAGAACAAAUGAGUAGUAAUCAACAAUUUACUUUUAAAGAUAUCCAAAUAAGUGGGCUUGGCUUCUUUCUUGGAUCCAGUUAACUAGAGAACUGUCAAUUUCACUGUUUGAACACAACCCAGAACAACGUAUUAUGUUGUGUUUACCUAGCACUUUAUAUAACAGAAGUUUUAACAAGAACCUGAGGAAAAUGCAACAGAUAAGUCGUUUAUCAAGAUUCUUUGAGAAUGCCCAGAAAGAAAGCAGCUUUAAAGGCACAUCUGCAAAUUUUAAAAGACUGGGGCCACAACAUUUUGUUCAUCUUUGAAUACUCAGUGCUUACAGCAGUGCCUGGCACAGAUCAGGGGCUCAGAAACAUCCACUGGGACUUCUGCUUCCAGCCAAUAUGGAGGAAAAGGGACCAGAUUCACCCUCACACCUGAAACAACAAAAAUAUGCACAAGUAUUUUUAAACCACUGUUGGACCCACAGAUACAGACCCACAGAGGGCUAACUGUUUUCACGGCUGAUAUUCUACUUAUCAGAGACGCAUGAUGAAAUUUUAACUACUCUCCUCUUCUUGGACAUUUAGGAGGAAUAUCCAAGAAAUAACAAUAGUCCACACAAUGAUAUAAUGAAUACACAUCUUCAUAUACAAGGUCCCCACUAGAAUCUGGGGAGGUCAUCUGAUCAAACGGGCUUAACACAAAUUCAUCAUCUUCCAGUUUUGGCGUAAGAAGUCCAAAAGGGGUCAGCAGAGCUGCAGUCUUCCUGGGAGCUCUCGGGGAGAAUCUAUUUCCUUGCCUGUUUCACUUGAACUGACGAGAUUAAUAUCUGCCUCGCAGGAAGCGCCGUAUGUAAAGUGUCUGCAGGCAUCCCUUUCCACUUGAACAGCAUCCAGGAAUUAGAUGCUAUUUUCAUCUUGACAAAAUGUAAGGAAAAUACUGGAUUAAACAGUAAAGAGGUAGAGGAACGGAUCCGCUUUGAAACGGCUGCUGUGAAUGUGAAUUGGUAUAGGCUCUCUAGAGGGCAGUGUGGCAAAGUGCAUGUAAUGAAAAGCCUUACAAAUGUUUUCCUCUUUAUCCCAGUGAUUAUUCAUUUCUAGACGUGUAUCUGAAGGCCAUGGUUGAAUUUACAUACAAAGAUAAUUAGUGAGAUAUUAUUUGUAAUACUGCAGGGGAAAAAGCAGAAACAAACUAAACAUCCUCUAAUAAGCGAUUAGAUAAAUAAAUACAUCCACAUUGUGGAAAUCUCAUCAGCCACAUAAAAGGACUUUGUAAAAUAAUAUGAAGCAUCAUGUUCAGAGGUUUGCCAAAUGUUAAUGACAAAAUUGGGGGGUUAAAUCAGGGAUAUUAAUUACAUCAUACCGGUAAAAGAACUCUGUGCGAUGAGAGAAUGUGUGUACAGACAGGAAAAAAAGGACUAAAUGAAAUAGAUUUCAUGAUAUUAACAGUGGUUGUUUCCACGUAAUGGAAUCGAGUGAUUUUCAUUUUUGCUUACUUGUAUUUUCUAUUUUCUAAUCAUAAAGGUGGGAGGUUCUAUACAAAACAAUUCCUCUACUAGUUCAAUGAUCUGGCAUUUCUAGGUAUAGAGCAAACACUGCGGGAGGUGUCCCUCUAGUGGAAGGAGAGAUUUUUAAAAAUAGUUUAUUGUACCUAAUGUCUUUUGGAGGCAAACAGGGAUCUGAAGUUAGUAAAUGAUUCUGCUUAUUCCACAGGCACUGCACUCCAGCCUGGGCAACAUAUCAACACUCUGUCUCAAAAAAAAAAAAAAAAUUAAAGGGGGGAUGGGGACCAA